CACGUAGGGCGCAAGCGUUGUCCGGAAUUAUUGGGCGUAAAGAGCUCGUAGGCGGUCUGUUGCGUCCGCUGUGAAAACUCGGGGCUUAACCCCGAGCCUGCAGUGGAUACGGGCAGACUAGAGGUAGGUAGGGGAGAAUGGAAUUCCCGGUGUAGCGGUGAAAUGCGCAGAUAUCAGGAGGAACACCGGUGGCGAAGGCGGGUCUCUGGGCAGUAACUGACGCUGAGGAACGAAAGCGUGGGUAGCAAACAGG
rnacentral:rRNA from 1 species